ensembl:lncRNA
CAGACAUGACUGACAUGACUGAUAUGGACAUGACAGGAAUAGGAGCAGAAGACAGAGUUCUUUCUGAGAACACUGCCCCACCCUCUUCAGCUGCACAUGCAAUGCCAGAGGUGCAAGUUUUUACUGAAGAGGACAUGGAAUUGGAGGAUGCCUUUUCAUCUAAUUGAAUUUCAAGCGAGCGAGGACAUCGCUGUUGUGCCAAUUGACUGGUAUGAUGACGGGAUGGUGUACUGGCCCAGCUUUAAGAGCACUGAGCGUGUGAAAAGGGCAGCUGCUAACGAGGAGAAGCAUGAGCCAAACUGGCCAAGAUAUGAUGUAAAGGUUGUCAGAACUUGUGACAACUACAAAGACGCCAUUAGGCUUAUGACUCAAUAUCAGAAUGGCUGCAACACCUCUGAGCUACAGUCUGAGGCAGAGCAGGAGGGUAAGCUGCCAGAGAAAAAGAUUCAGGAAGCCAGUCCAUCGUUUUGGGGACUCUGAUGAGAGUGAAGAAGAGCCAGAAAAUGGUGACUUUGCAUCUCUGAGGAUGCCACGACCUUCCAACUUGCCUGGUGUAUCAGUUGAAGCCUCAUGCCCAAGCCAAUUGCACUGGAAGACUCCAUCAUCUUGCCGAGUGCCAGGCAGCAGAGUAACUACUCCUCAACCUGGAGAAAACUGUCUAGCACCAGACUAUGGAGCAGGACAGCAACACCCUUCACCACCUCAACUCCCAACACCCGCAUUUAACAUGCGGAGAGUUACUCAAGGAAUGGCAGUCCCUCCACAACUCCCUCCACCCCCCGCACCAGCCCUCAACAUGCGGCCAACAGAGGAAGCCUGUUCAAGCCUGACCUACAGACCAACAUGGCGAGGGGGAAGAAUGGCCGAUACCAUUCCCUGCUCUGCGGCUGAGGUCCACAUACUUAGCCUGCUGGAAACCAUUAAACAGCAACAAGACCAGCUUGUGGCAAAGGUGAACUACCUCAGCAGCAGGCUGAACAGCACCCCGGGGCCAGAUGUUGAGAUGCCUGAAAAUAUCCAGUUUCCCCUGGAACAAUUGGAGGCCGUGGAGGCAUUUGAAAUGUUUCUAAAGGAACCGUCAAAUGGCCCAGCUCGACAGAGAGUGGUGAGUUUUCUUAUUGGAUGGUGCCAUUAGGUUAAUUGAUUGUCCAUCAUUAUUAUUGUAAAGGUGGCACAGGUCCAUGAGGGUGUGAUCCAAGUACAUGUAUCACGAGUUCACACUUGCAUACAAUUAGAGGGGGUACAGUUUAAUGUGUAUAUGGCGUGCUGUCCGGGGGGAGGGCUCCGAGCUCGGACUUUGGCCCAAACCCAGAGUACUCCCCCGUAUGUAAGUGGUUAGGACUAGAAGUGUGGAGAAGGGGUGGCGGAGGGAUGCUAAACUGUCAGUUGAUU